CUUACUUUGGCAGGAGAGGAGAGAUUUAUUCUAUGAAGCAGCUGAACCAGACGGCUUCUGAAUUCAGAGACACAAGGUCCAAGGCUCUCUCAGUCUUCUAUGUUGGCCACUGGAGGAUUACUUUUCUGUCCUCUUGAAGUUACAACUGGAUGCAGAACUUGAUCUGGACACCAAAAUGUCAGUAGAAGUGAUAUGAGAUACUUCUGACCAGAAGUUUUGUGAAAAAGUUCAUUGUUGCCAACCUCUUCUCCCCCUGCAAGAACCCAAGUAGAGGCUAUCCUCAAUCUGUGUAAGUGAGAAAUAAACUGUUGUUUCCAGUCAUUGAUAUCUUUUGUAUUGUUUUAUACUGUAGAAAGUGUACACC
rnacentral:lncRNA from 10 species